CCACUUUCUCCACCAGAGGGCGCACAAGAUCUCCUGGAGCAUGAGCCGACCACACCACCUGCCUCUCAUCUGCUCAUCAGGAGAUCCAUACUUAAGGAGGCGGAGGGCUUCACUCCAGUGCCAGAGUGUUUGCCAGUAACGGUUGAUCCUGCCUGAUUACCUGAAACUCUGGAGAGUUUCUCUGCCAGUGAUCUGUCUGCUCGUUCUCAGUAGGACUCUGGAGAGCAGCCUCAGUCAAGUACCUGCCUGCCCGCUCUCAGAAGAUUACUGGAAGGAAAACUCAAUCAGUGAUCUGCCUGCACUCUGUAAGCUCUGCCUCGGCCUCUGCCCUCAGCCUGCCGACAACCUCUGGACCCUCAAGGUUCCCCCCUCUUCAGCUCUGCUCCAUUUCCGAACAGCAGUGAACCCACUCGUGACCAGUCAAGCCCCCUCUUGGAUCUGAACAUACUUUGUACAUUUAAUAUUAAUAAA